AAGCUUCUGGAACUUUCCCUGCCAAGGCUACCAAUGUGAAUAGGCUCCUGAGGCUCAAAUGCAGAUAUAAAUGAGGAAUCCUGGGUUCUUGAAUGAUCCUGUGGAGCACAGCAGACCUCAGGGUGAAGAGUUCACUUAACUCAACACUGUUAAGUGAGAAUUAAGUAAACUUCUGCUGUGUUUGGCUAAGGUUCAGACCUUGUGUGGAAGAGAGGAAUAACAUUACUGAGCCCUCUCAGUCCAAUCCAGAGGGCAUCCAUAUGGUUGAGCAGAACAACAGCACACUUUAGACAACAGAAACAACAGCCAGAGGACUGAGAGGGGAAAGACGAUUGGGAAGCAGCUCAAAUAAUAUUCAAGACAUUCAACCCCACCUUGGAACUCCCAGAGAGAUGCAAAAAAGGUGAUGCGGAUAUGCCAUAUGGCAGGAAUAAACCAGUGAGAUCUGGCCGAACCAUUCAAAUGACACUGAAGGACUGAAGAUUCUCAAGGAUACAGCGUUUUGAAGAUGUUCACAAAUCAAUAUAAAUAAAUAGAGAGGAGAAGGCGGAACAAGAUGGCUGAAUAGAAGCCUCCAGUGAUUAUCCCUCCCACAGAAAUACCAAAUGGAACAUCUAUCCACAGAGAAAAAGCAUGUUCAUAACAACCAAAAAUCAGGUGAGUGACCACAGUCCCUGGUUUUAACAUAAUAUUAAGAAAAGAGGCACUGAAGAGGGUAGGAAAGACAGUCUUGAGUCAGCUAUACCAUCCUUCUCCAUCCCCUAGCAGUGGCCUCAUGGAAUGAAGAGAGAAUAGGGGAGUGAGAGAAUGUUGAGGGAGUGAGAGUGCAGUGGGGAGUGAGAGCACACUGAUUAUGGGACUUUGCAUUGGAACUCAGUGCUGCCCUGUCACAGCAGAAAGCAACACAAGGUAAAACUCAGCCAGCA
rnacentral:lncRNA from 1 species